GGGAAUAGAUUUGGUGUGAGAUAAAACCUGUACGCAUUUAUGGGAUGUCUCUGAGUGUUCAAAAAUGUUUUGCUGAUGAGUAAUUAUUUUCUAGCCUUGAGCAAAUAUUGACAAUUUUCAAAGUAAUUCUGGAUUACUACAAUUUAAACUGUAUAAUUCUCCUCCAAGACUAAGGAUGUUCUCUGACAGCAGCUGCAUCCAUGUUAAUGUGAUACUUAAAUGUUCCCUAAAGAGUUAAACAUGUACCCUAAUUCUCUACAAGAUACAAUGCAU